rnacentral:rRNA from 1 species
UACAGAGGUCCCAAGCGUUGUUCGGAUUCACUGGGCGUAAAGGGUGCGUAGGUGGUGAGGUAAGUCGGAUGUGAAAUCUCCAAGCUCAACUGGAACUGCAUUGGAAACUACCUUGCUAGAGGAUUUGAGGGGGGAUUGGAAUACUUGGUGUAGCAGUGAAAUGCGUAGAUAUCAAGUGGAACACCAGUGGCGAAGGCGAAUCCCUGGAAAAUACCUGACACUGAGGCACGAAAGCUAGGGGAGCAAACAGG